GCCGAUGAAAAUUUCUUGGAUUCUCUUCUUCAUCUUCAUCUCUCUACUCGGAAAUUAAGGCGAUGAAAGAACCAGAUGGAGUUCCCGGUAACUACACAGAAUCAGUCAAGGAGAUGAGAUGAUGAUUCCUGAUUCUAAUUUCAGUAUUGUCCGUGAGAUUGACAGUUUAGUUAGAAGAAGACAGUGCUGGUCUCUUUUAUGCUCAAGUUCAACAACCUUACCAGAUACAUGAUAUUAAGAAGGUGGAUGCUGAAUGUUGAAGGAUGCUGGCUAAGUUAAAUUUCACAUCCCAAUAGCAUUAGAGCCAUGUCUGGGUUGGAUUUAGAGAUGAACUGCUUUCAAGGUUCUUAAUCUGCUGCCCGGAGGUUUCGUUUUCUUUUCAGCAUUAGUUCCAUUCCUUUGUUUGCCUGUAUAAGUCUGUUUGUUCUUACUCAUCCUGAUACGAAAUUAGUUGUUAAUGCUGAAAAGAUAUUCUUUGGUAAAUAACACCAAUCUACUGAUUUAUGGACCAUUGACGUCCAUCUAAGCAUAGGGGUUUACAUGACUAACAUAGUUGGUCAAAAGUGAAUUUGCUGCUUGCGAAGCCCGUGAUUAGAAUUUUGGUUUAUGCAGUAGGUUCUUGAAAGUAAAUUAAGAGGCGUGCAGAUUGCCCCAGGUUGGAGGUGGUUUUAUAUAUUCUUUUCCAUAAGUUUAGAAAACAUGUUGGAUGGUCUACAUGUUGAUUCGCAGUUAUGCUAGAUUUCAUUGUAUAUUGAUCAUGGGUCAUCGGUGAUUGUAACUAGGACCCCUUCACUGUGUCAGACUAGUAUCAUAGGAGAUGCAAGUGGGUCUUUAUGUAAUAACUCAUCUGAUCUGUGCUCACCACCUGAGACACCUCCCUCGUGAUUAAACUUCCCCUUGUUAUUAGCAAGAAUUAUACAGCUUUGCUAUUGUCAUUUGUAAUAACUAAAAUGAUCUGUUUUAUACUCUAAAAUUACUUCAAAUGACUUGAGUUUCACCACAGGAGAUGUUAUAGAACAUGCCGAAUUUUAAAUGAAACAAUUUAAAUGCAAUGAAACAUCUUACAAGGUAUACAAUUGUCUUUGUUUUCGCGCGGUAGAAUAUCCACUCUCCUGAGGUGCUUCACAUUUGCACAAUAAUAAUUUGUUCACAACAUUCUGUUAUCCUUUAGAUUGAGUAAUCUCGUAUUGACAUUGAGUUUGCAAUUUUUUAUCUUCAUUUAUACUAUAUAGCCAUGCAGAAUUAGAUUUAUUUCUGUUUGAGUGUUGUUAUAUGUGUGAAUACCGAGCUCAGUCUUUACCUUGAUAUCAUUUGAUCGAGUCUUUUUUCAAUUCCGUAUGUUUUUGACCCUAAUAGUAAACCCUUAAUGGGUUCUACUGCUUUGCUAGACAUGUUUUACUGCUUUCCUAGACAACUCCAUGCUAACCUUUCAACCUGCCUUUGUGGAUGUCCUAAUCCUUUGGAUUAGAGAGCCUUUUGUGGUGACUUGGAACUUAUGAGUGAAUACAACGUGAGGCUCACUGUUACAUAAGCUUGCGAGCAACUAAAUAGCAUGGGUGCCAAUUGUCUAGUAUUUACAUAAACAAGACUUGGAAACUGUUAGUUAGUUGAUAGCGAUUUUAGGUAGCAGUGGGUCCCAUGCCCUAUUCACCCAUGGAAUUUCCAUUCACUCCAAAAGGUUCAUCAAUGCUAGAAGACGAUACAACGUGAAUAGGGGAUCACACACAAAAACAAAACAAAAAAAACAAGUAGAGAACUUACUUGGCCGAAAUAAUGGAGAUUUUGUUCUCCGUUCUUCCAUGGUUUAAAAAAGCGAAAGCCUGGGGCGAAACUACUAUUAUUCGAUUUUCUAGGACUAUAUAGUAGUUUCUACUUUUAUAAAAAUAUACUAGUUGAGUUAGUUUGGUCUUGUUGACCUAGUCAACUUUCUGUUUGGUCCUUUUUUUAAAGAGGAACGGGGUUCAGGAGUAAGAUUUCCCUCAAUCUGCUGCCAGGGUGUUUUCGUUUUCUUUCAAAGAAGUGUUAUCAACAGGUUAUUUCUAUUCCUUUGUUUUUCUCUUCAUAUAGGGAAUUAUAUAGUUUGUUUGUUCUUAUUAUCAAGAUGUGAAAAUAGUUAAUGGUGAUAAGAUAUUCUUUAGUAAAUAACACCAAUCUACUGAUUUUGUGGACCAUUGAUGUCCAUCUAAGCAUAGUGGUUUUCUUGACUAACAUAGUGGGUCAAAAGUGAAUUUGGUGCUCGCGAAGCCCAUGAUUAGAAUGCUGGUUUAUGCAGUAGGUUCUUGAAAGUAAAUUAAGAGGUGUGCAGAUUGCCUCAGGUUAGAGGUGGUUUAAUAUGUGCACAUUGAUUAUUUAGAUUAGAGAACACGUUGGAUUGUCUACUUGUUGAUUUGCAGUUAUGCUAUAUUUCUUUGUAUAGGGAUCAUAGGUCAUCACUGAUUUUAACUAGGACCCCUCUACUGUGCAAAAGUAGUAUCACAGGAGAUGCAAGUGUGGCUUUUUGGCGGACACACAGUGGGUUGAAGUGGGGUCAGCAGACCCCACUCAAUUUUGAUUUCCAUGUGCUAAUUAGUUAGAUAUUUCAGUCAUUGACCCCUCUCAAGUUUAAAUAUUAGUGUUCGACCCCUCAUCAAAAAUCUUCUAGGUCCGCCACAGUUUGUGAUAAUUCAUCUGAUGUGUGCAAAACUAGAAUUGUACGGCUUAGCAAGUGUCUUUUGUAAUUACUAAAAUGUUCCAUGUUAUAGACGAAUGACUUGGGAUUCACCACAUCAAUGUUCUAGAAUAUGUUGAACUCUAAAGCUUACAAGGUACAAAAUUGACUUUGGUUACGCGCGGUAGAAUAUCCACUCUCCUGAAGGUGCUUGACGUUUGCACAAUUAUAAUUUAUUCAUACAUUCUGUUAACAUUUAGAUAGUGAAAUUGUAUUGUCAUUGCCUUUGCAAUUUGUUACCUUUAAUAUGUCAUUUAUGUUACAGAGUCAUGCAGAAUUUGUUUUAAAUCUGUCUGGGUGUUGUUUACAUGUGUGAAUACCGAGCUCAUCUUUACCAUGAUAUCACUUGAUCGAGUCUUUGUAAAUUCCGUAAGUUUAUGACCCUUAAUAGCUAGUGUAUACAAUAGGUGCCUGUAUUAAUCUCAGAACAGAAAACUGUAUUACUAUUUUUUGGGGUAGGUUGGAAUCUUGGGAUUCUAACAUCCUUGGUUCUUUGUGACCCAUUUCAUUACAAACCACAAGGAUCUCAUCUGAUGUCCUCUUUAUCAGUCAAAGUGAUUGUCAAAGGGGGAGUAGUUACUUGGUCCUUUAUGUGGUUUCUUGCUGCCUCGAAUAUAGAUGUACUAAUGGGGGAGUAGUUACUUGGUCCUUUAGAGAAACAUAGAAUCGAUCGUCGGGAGAUCCUACUUCGAAGAUUAUUCCUUGAGCUCAACUGCAAAUUCUCUUGGUCCCUUUUUUUUUUCUUCUAGAUUGGCUUUCUAGCUGGCAGCGGAGCUGUAUUAUCUUCGGGGAUCAUCAUCCUAGCAAGAUUUUGGAUCGUCAUGUGACUUUGCUUCAUCGGAUUAUGGAUCGGGACUGCACCUCCUUAGAAGGUACUGAAACUAAGUGUCUUUUUUUGCUUUUGCUGGUGAUCAAACUAGUCAUGUCAUGAAGCGGGAAUCGAACCCGCGCCUUCUCCUUGGCAAAGAGAAAUUUUACCAUUCAACCAUAUCCGGACCGCUACUACAAGCAGUACUACACCUUUGAUCGUGAAAUAUCGAUUGCUUGUUGAACCCUGUGAAUCACUUGAAGUAUCAACUAAUGGAGGAGGAGUGAUAUUAGGCAACCGGUCCUUCCUCUUUUUCCAUAAGAAUGGAACCGAACUCCUUCAUUACCGUCUUUUCUUUUCCUUCAUUUUAGUGCCAUCUCAACUCUAACUUCUGUUCACCUCCAUGAAUUGAGCUGUGCUACGUUGGAGUUGAGCUGGUAUGCAUCUGGUUGGUUCCUUGCAUCAUGGCAGUGACAUUGGUGAAUAAGAUGCAUCUUUACAUCGUGUUUAUCUCAAACUGAAGUAUUGACUGGUGUGCUCCUUUGUUUAUCAUCAUUGUCAUCGGUCGUAGGAUCAUCGUCGCCAAGAAGUACACGAAGUAAACCAUGGUCACCAUUCUCGAGCAAAUCUUUUAGUAUGAGGAGUAUAUGAAGUACUGGACACUUAUGUAGGCAACAUCUAAACCCUAGACCCUAGAAAUGUUGAACCUCUUAGGAAAUGAUGGGUCCCACCUGAAUGCCAUGAACUACUAAUGGUUGAUUCAUAUGUAGGACAAGACUGGAUUUAGGCUUACAUUUGGAUUUGUGUUUUUCCAUGCGCAGACCAAUGUGAGUCCAAUCAAGUCAUUCGUCUCAAUUAGUUGUUAGUGGUUCAUGGUAUUCAGGUGGAACCCACUGUUUCCAAAAAGGUUCAGCAUUCCUAGAUCUAGGGUUUAGAUGUUGUCGACGUAAGGAUCUAGAUUUCGACUAGCCAUAUUGGUCCGCCUUUAGUCGAGUUGGUUUCUUAUUUGAAUAAUUGUAAAACAAUAUCUCGUUUAUAGUCUUCCAUAUGGACCACUUACUCAAUUAAUGCAAGUUUAAUGGUAACUAAAUGUGUAAUUUAGAAAAUUCUUUGAAGUACAUGUGACUGUUAGUUUUACAGGUAAUACAAUUAUACUGUGUAGUGCUGCUUUUCGGUAGGCAGUUGAUUGCAUUUCUGAUAAUAAGCUUAGGUAGGUUUCGUUUUUUUUGGUGCAAUCUUGGUUUCGUCUUUGCAUGAUCUAUAGGACCGCAUAUAAGCUUGCACGAUUUCUAGCUGUUGGAGGCCUUAAAAAUCACCACAAAUGUGCAUCGGCAUAGUCCUCUCAUAGUCAUUGGUAUAUCACGUUAGCUUUUAAAAAUUAAUUAUGGGAUGUAUAUUCUGUUUUUUUAGGGUGAGUUUUGCACUUCCAGUUGAAUUUCAUUUAUGUAGAUAAAGUUUGUGCUAGUCCAGAAUUAGAGAUCAGAUGUAGCUAUGGGAAAAGGUGGAGUUCUUUCAGUUGGUGACAUGAGAGGCUUGAUGAGUAUUUCAGGAAAUCUUUGAAAUUCCCGGAGUCUGUAAUUGCUUUAGUAUUGCAAGCCAGGUUUUAGGAUGGUGAAGCCAUAACACUGCAGCGAGCCAUUAGCCAUCCAACAGCAGGCUCUGAGAUCAGUUGGCUGUUAAGGAUGUGGUACCAUUUGGUGGAGUUGUUUAGCAAUGUAUGCUGGUAUAUGGCUUCCACAUUCUUAGCAAUGAUUCUCGCUUAACAUCUCAAGUUUUGGCAACAAAGGCAUGUUAUAUGGUGAUGGUCUAGCUAUAAGAGAAGGUCUGCGGAAGAGAUGGUUCCCGUGCAUCGCGGCAUAUGCAGUUUGGAGCUGAAAGUGCAGAACGUUUUUUUCCCACUGUUCUUUCAUAACUGAAAUCUGGGUCCAGUUGUAUGGCAAAACUGGGUGGUGCUUUGGUGGAAUAUUUUUGUGUGGAAGUGCUUGAUCUUAUCAUGUUCAGUGGAAAUUUGCAAGCUUCCUGGAAUUGUAUAAAGUUGUGCAAUCUGAAAUGCACGAGUUCUUAAAGAUACUGGCUACCGACAUGAAAGUUCUUGUCUUUCUCCACGGCUACAAUUUUCAAAGAAUGCACCCUGUAAUUUUGUUCAAUAGCUUUCUUCUGUAACUUCAGAAUUGUUAUGUGAUUCGAACUUUAAAAGCUUGCAAAAUAAAUGAUAUUCACAUCUUACAGUUAUUGAUCUGUUUGUUCUUUA